ensembl:lncRNA
GCUUCAUGGACGUGUCGGGCUUUCACCUAACCUAACACGAUCACCUCGCGGGAUUGAUACAGGUCACACAGUCCCCUCUUCCACCCUCCUCACCAUCUGAGGGUGCUGAGUGAGACCGAGCCUGGACUCUCUGACUGUGACAGGCCUCCCCGCCCUCAGCACACAGGGACUGUCAGGAGAGGUGACCCACUGGCUGCAGUCUUGGAGCCGCCAGGACAGACUGGCAGCCAGGUCACACGCAUGACCUUCAAGGCACAACUGUCAACAGUCUCCUGUGGGGAAGCUCUCCAGGGUCCCCUCCGCGAGCCCACAGCCGCACUGCUCCUCGUCCAGAUCCUCUGUUCUCCUCACAGCUAAGCUGUGGACAGUCACCCCCGCGUCUGCUUGCUUCUUUCCAGAAACCACACUAGCAGACGGAAUUGGUUGCUAAAGCCUAAGUUUCUAGUUUUGCCUCUACUUCUGGUGGGGAGUGAGAAAAGGCCAUUUUCCAGAGAUCUGCAGUCCACAGAGUGUUUGGAACCUGGGCUACUGACUCAGCCUUGACUUGAGGGCUGCUUGCACGCUGUCUCUCUAGUUGGCCGUAUUUAGAGGGGCGGCUCAGCCCUCGAAACAGCGCUCUGAGGCGGGGGGUAUGCUAGAGGGGCAGACCCCCUGUGCCCCGGUGCUCCCCACAGGGGCAAGGCGCCCCCUGCGGCGCGGAUGAGCGCACCCGGCACUUCCCUCCGCCGCCACCCUGAAUGCUCCCGAGGUGCAGCCAACAUCGCGGCUCCAGGCAGGCCUCGAGUUUCCGAUGAGAUGUGGCUGACUUCGGCCGGAUCCACAGAGGCGGGCAGGAGACAGGCGUCCACUGGAGAGUUGUUCCGGGCCGUUCUGUGCUUUUUGCCGCCAAGAAGUGAACCGUCUUGAGCACCGCAGUGGGGGAACCCCGGUCGGCCUUCAGAGGAUGGACUCCGGCUGGAGAACGCAGGGCUGCCCUACUGUUGGCCGACCUCACGGGACCAAGUGUCACAGGAACAAGUUCUGGGCUCACAAGGCUUGACCUUGGCUGGUUUUUCCAGGUUGCUUUGUACAUUUUUCAGCAGCAGGUGGGGGGAAGAUCAGAAAGCACCCUUCCUGCCUGAGCCAGGGCCUAAUGACCUUGACUUACGACAUCUGCUCCUCCUUCAGGCCUCCCGAGAUCCCCCAUCCCCACCAUGUGAAGGGGGUACCCUGCCCCUAGAGC